rnacentral:tRNA from 1 species
AUUUACAUAAUAUAAAAAGUAUAUUUAACUUCCAAUUAAAAAGUUUAAAAAUUUAAAUUAAUGUAAAUA